rnacentral:lncRNA from 1 species
ACUGUUCAUCCCGCCCCCAUCUGAGGUGACGGGAAAAGGGCUGGGGAAUUUCCAUUUCUCAUUAAGAGGAGGGCUGAAGUGAGAACCCCGCAAGAAGGAACAAAAUAUGAAGUAGACCUAACCCUGCUCUUGGAGAGUCUUGUGCGUCCAAGAUGCAAGAGGCGUCGAGGUAGCAAAAGUAGCUCCCACCUGUCGCUCUCCACAGGCGCCGCGGCUAUGGCCGGAAGUAGCCGCACGGGGAUUGGCGGAAAGAAGCAAUCCGUCUCAGCGAAGCCCUCUCUUCCUGCCAUUUCCUGGUUGGCAGACCUCGACGUCAGUCACCACAUCAGGCUCCGCCUCCGGGACAGAGCGCAGCGCGCGGAGCUUAAGCAACCCCGGGAGCAGCUCCGAUGGCGUCUCUGAGGCUUCUCCACCCGCCCGCGCGCCUGGUGCUGGACCGGCGCGCUCUACAGCCUUGGGGCAGGAUGGUCCGGUGGGACCGCGUUCUCUCCGGGAAGCCGGCGGGCUGGACAGCGCCAUCCCUUGGUCCUGAGAACUGUCCGGCGGAGGAAGACAGAACGGUGCGUGGAAUCCGACCGCAGGGCUGGACGCGGCUAAGAGGACGUGCUCGCGGGCUAUUUCUGGUCCCGUAGUACCGCCACUUCUCUGUUGAGUGACCUCGGAGCGUUUGAUGUUACUCUAUGUAAAAUGGGAAUGUGAGCACCAUCCCCACCGGGUGGUUAGUUGAUAGCACAUGGAGCUUAGCAGAGUGGCCAACUUAUAGGGAAGAUUCGUUUUUUCUUAGUUAAUCCUCCCUCUUCCUUCAGCUCUCUGCCUGUUCUGGGUUCUGCCAGCCAAAACAAUUCUAGCUAAAUUUCUGACCAAGUAAGCUAUCCCCCUCUAAUGAUUUUCUCCCUUCCUCUCCCUCCCCCCCCCCCCCCAUUUUACCAAUAAAAAUAAUUAAAAGUG